GCGGCUAUCGUCUAGUGGUUUAGGAUCUCACCUUCCCAUACGCCAUUGUGGCGGGCGGCAGCUCGGAAGUAGGUGAGGACAGGAGUUCGAACCUCCUUAGUCGCA